GUGGAAAUCUGGACGGAAAGGUUAAUCAAAUAUGUUCAGAAGAAUGUGGAUAUCUCCUUAUACCUUGUUACUGAAUCUUGCUGCUUCUUCACCAGCAACUCACUGCUGAAGGGUAGCCGCCACCACUGCAAGUGGUUUUAGGUAUCCUCUGAUGGCCUCUUAUUCCAUGACAUUCUGUGGCUGCCCACUGUUCUGCUCUUAACAGCUGCAGCCAGGAGCUCCUCUGGAGACAAUUUCCUGAAAAAGAAACUACUGAAAAGUAAACAAAAUAAGAUAUUGAACUCUACAUAACUUGUGAAGACUGAAUGCUGACUCUGAGGGGAAAGAGACCCUGCCAGCCAAAGAGGUAUCAAAUCUAGAUAGUUCCACAUGAUGCAGGAGAAAAAAAAACAUCUACUAGAUGAGAUUUCUGUUAUGGCUCAAGGAAUAUAUUUUUGGUGAACAAUGUGUUCACCAAUUUUAGCCAUUAUUCAGUGUACAUGUUAUUGUCAAAUAACUGUUCGUGUGAUUUGACCAGAUCUGGUUUCUAAAUACAUUCCCCUAUUUCACUCCGAAAUUGCAGUUUGUGUAUACACCCUUCAAAUACUUGUAUGUGUUUAUCAUGACCUCUGUUAGUCACCACUUUGUCAAACUAUGCAAAUUUUACUCCUCUAUUCUCUUUGGAUUAAAAAAAAAUUCUCCUCC